rnacentral:ncRNA from 1 species
GAGAGCCGGAUGCCGGGAAACUGGCCUGUCCGGUUCGGGAAGGCGCCGUCGGAAAAGGACCCACACCAUGGGCACCUCGUCGGCGGCCUACUUCAC